CAAUCAGGUCUCCCCCCCCACUACAUGGCUCAAAUGGAAUGUUAAUGCCUCUUCCUUGGGCAAACCUGGUAAAAGUGCUAUUGAAGGGGUCUUUCUUUAGGAACUAAAAUGCCAUGUAUUUUCUCUUGUCCUUCGGGGAUCUUGAAAUCUAAUGAAGCUGAAAUUAAGGUCAUCCUCGAAGCUUUAGAGCUGUCAUCUUCUUCGCCAGCACUUGGAUGUAGCUCUUCCCCAAUCCUCAUUGAGUUCGACUCAGCACUCAGCUCCCAGGGUCUGAAUGGUUUGGAAGAUUUUGUGGCAAUCCUUUAAUGGCUACCUUUUGCCUUGCCC
rnacentral:misc_RNA from 1 species